AUACUUACCUGGCAGGGGUGAUAUUAUGAUCAUGAAGGUGGUUCACCCAGGGCAAGGCUCUGCCAUUGCACUUCGGUUGUGCUGACCCUUAUGAAUUCCCCAAGUGCGGUAAUCUCGACUGCAUAAUUUCUGAUAGUGGGGGACUGCAUUCGUGCUCUCUCUUG